rnacentral:rRNA from 1 species
CUGCCAGAGGUCACUGCUAUUGGGAUUCGACUAAGCCAUGCGAGUCGUGAGGGUUCGGCCCUCGGCAGACGGCUCAGUAACACGUAGAUAAUUUGCCCUUAGGUGGAGGAUACCCUCGGGAAACUGAGAAUAAUACUCCAUAGAUCUAGACUGCUGGAAUGCUUUUAGAUUGAAAGAUUUAUCGCCUAAGGAUAAGUCUGCGGACUAUCAGGUUGUAGUCAGGGGUAACUACCUGACUAGCCUACGACGGAUACGGGUUGUGAGAGCAC